UACGGGGGGAGCAAGCGUUGUUCGGAUUUACUGGGCGUAAAGAGCGCGCAGGCGGUCGUUCAAGUCGCGUGUGAAAGACCCCGGCUCAACUGGGGAGGGUCGUGCGAUACGGUCGAACUGGAGGCCAGUAGGGGGAUGCGGAAUUCCGGGUGUAGUGGUGGAAUGCGUAGAGAUCCGGAGGAACACCAGCGGCGAAGGCGGCAUCCUGGACUGGUCCUGACACUCAUGAGCGAAAGCGUGGGGAGCGAUCCGG
rnacentral:rRNA from 1 species